GUCUACGGCCAUACCACCCUGAACACGCCCGAUCUUGUCUGAUCUUGGAAGCUAAGCAGGAUCGGGCCUGGUUCGAACUUGGAUAAGAGGAAGAGAGACCAGGCUCCGCCC
rnacentral:rRNA from 1 species